rnacentral:rRNA from 1 species
UGGGGAAUAUUGGGCAAUGGGGGCAACCCUGACCCAGCAACGCCGCGUGGAGGACGAAGGUCUUCGGAUUGUAAACUUCUUUGAUCAGGGACGAAGAAAUGACGGUACCUGAAGAACAAGCCACGGCUAACUACGUGCCAGCAGCCGCGGUAAUACGUAGGUGGCAAGCGUUAUCCGGAUUUACUGGGUGUAAAGGGCGUGUAGGCGGCUUUUUAAGUCAGAUGUGAAAUUCCCAGGCUUAACCUGGGCGCUGCAUCUGAAACUAAAGAGCUUGAGUACUGGAGAGGAUAGUGGAAUUCCUAGUGUAGCGGUAAAAUGCGUAGAUAUUAGGAGGAACACCAGUGGCGAAGGCGGCUAUCUGGACAGUAACUGACGCUGAGGCGCGAAAGCGUGGGGAGCA